AGCCCAGCCACACUUGCGCUCCUCUUCCUUCCUCUGAAAAGAUUCCAGUUCUCUUCUGUUGUUGCGUAAAGGAAGCUCACACUCGAAGGCCAUGCUGCGCCGUACCGCCCCCGCCGUGAGCUUCACGGUCUCGCAUCGCGCUCUCAUGAUGCGUCCCAGCCGCCCCCUCCUCGGUGGUGACAUGCACUCUAGCGACCGCUUCAAGGCUGCCUGGGACGAAAUCCCGCUGCACAUGUUGGGCGCCUCCCACAAGCAGAUGUUCGAGUGGUAUUGGCGCGCCAUGUACCAGCUGGGUCUGCGAGAUCCCUACCGCCUCACCAAGCUGCGCUCCAUGCUCAACUGGGCUGCCUUUUUUUCCUUCCUGUACCUGACCUACAUUUCCAUCUUCUACUCGUCUUUUUACCACGUGUACAUGAUGGAUUGGCCGGAGCACUUCAAGCGUGAGAACGCCCGCGACUACGCUGUGUCGCAUGGCCACGACGUGUGGGCUGGCGAUGGCAAGUUCAUCCGCCCGUACUUCCACAUCAACCCGCCGAUGCUGACGAUGACGGAGGAGGAUAUCUAAAGCCAUCGUCUUACAGUGAAGUGGCGGCGGUCGAAAAGUUGGUGGAUGGGUGCCGGUCUUGUGAGUGGAUCAAUCGAGCACGCUUGUAAGUUUUUUCUGUUUUCUAGGUUCGAUAGGAUAUAUACGCAAGAAACAACACUCGUCGUCUACAAAAUGCUUCUCCUUUCAUCUUGGUGGACGUCCUUGUGAUCUGACGUUAGUACCACGCUAGCUUUUUUGUCCCUCUUUCGCAUUCCACCGGGAAUCUAGUUUGCGCUGUCUC
rnacentral:misc_RNA from 1 species